rnacentral:misc_RNA from 1 species
GAGCAAUCGACCUCGGAAGUGCAGAUCCUCACUGCGGAGCCUCCCACUCAACCUGCUGAGCCUCCUUCCCAACCUCUGGUCUCUUCGGCUGCAGAGAGCGGAUUCUCAGGGCAGGCAGUUCUGGCCCGGCGACCACUCUCCCGAGGUGCCUAAGUCUUGCUUCAAUCACUGGAGAAGAACCGCUCGGUACGAGGGAACACUGACUUGGCCAAAGUCUU